UACGUAGGGCGCAAGCGUUGUCCGGAAUUAUUGGGCGUAAAGAGCGUGUAGGCGGCCUGGUAAGUCCGCUGUGAAAGUCCAGGGCUCAACCCUGGAAUGCCGGUGGAAACUGUCAGGCUCGAGUCCGGAAGAGGCGAGUGGAAUUCCUGGUGUAGCGGUGAAAUGCGCAGAUAUCAGGAGGAACACCAAUGGCGAAGGCAGCUCGCUGGGACGGUACUGACGCUGAGACGCGAAAGCGUGGGGAGCAAACAGG
rnacentral:rRNA from 1 species